ensembl:lncRNA
GUAAAUGGAUUUCCAUGUUUUCAAUUGGUUUCACGUUCCUUCUUUGCUCUAGUUUAAUAAGAAACCAAGGUGCUGAACAACUCGCCUUUCACUUCAAUGUCUUUACCAAAGCUGGCAGUAGCUUUAUUACUCUGAGUGUUGAAUUCAGCCCUUAACACCAUCUAGAGUCGGGACAAUAGGGAGCAACUGCUGAAGUGCACUGAACCUGGACCUCUGGUGCUGUACUGCUGAACUGUGGGACUCUGAAAUAAGCAGACCAGAAUUUUAUGUUCUGAUUUGAGAGGUGAAAGAACGGGAAUUACUGUACUAAGCAAUAUGAGAUAACGUUCACUGACUCGAAUAUAGAAUUGUUUCAAACAGGGGUUCAAGUCCUGCUCCUCCUAAUUUUUUUGUUGUUGUUUUUACAAGACAGGAAAGGGACUGUGCCUAAAGCACCGCACAGAUCUUCCUGUUCUCUCUUCCUCUUAAUAUUACAUUUGAGCUGUCACGAGAAUACAUCAACAGCGUUGUCUAAAAUACAAUUACUCAUGUUUUAAAACUGUAAAAUCUCCUUAUACACGCAGAGAUGACUUUCACAGCACACUCACUGCUCAGACAUGCCAUAAAUGCCUUUACAUGGCCUUUAGGGGAAGUUGGUUUACUGUUUCACUAUUUUAUGUUUUCUUACCAGAGCUUACAGUAAAAAAUAUGGUGUUUUUUUAAACAAACAAGCAAAACUUGUGUGUCUUGGCUUUUUAUUUUUUGAAAGGUACAGAAAAGAAUACCAAACAACCACAUAUAAGCAGCAAUUGAUGGAUUGUAGGACGCAUAUGCAAAAUGUCAUUGCCAACGAGCAGUUUAGUUUGUAUGGCAUGCUGUGCAUGUCUCUGAUCUUGACUUAGCAUGCUUGGCUCUGACAAAAAUAAAACCAAGAUAUCCAGUCUGUCAAUCUGUUCUGGUGGAUCACAUCUUUGUGUUGUUGGAAGUUGCAAGAACUUUUCUGAUAGAUUUCAGCAGAACUAAGAAUUACUUGAUUCUAUUGCUGACUUGAUCUCUGCUUUUUGAAACUUUGGACCAGUCUGCGGGUGCGAUGAGUCUUCUGCUUAUUAACACAAGUAUGAAAAAUAGCUCAUGUUCAAGAUCACAGCAUGCAUAGGAGUCCAAACCAUCUUGAGAUAUUGGACAAAGGAAUUAGAGGUCAGCUGGGCAGAAAAAUGUCAGUGUCUUAUGUCUACGCUGGAUAGAAGAAGAAUUAAGAGACUUAUUGAUUCGAGGAAGAUUUAGACCAGUCACUGAGGAGGAACUAGCAGGAAGAGAUUUUCAAGGCAGGUCCUUGGGCUGUGUGUGGCAAUUGGGCAUGUACCUGUUGGAAAUGCUUCAGGCAGAGAGCAACCUGUCUGUAGAGCCCCGGUACAGCAGGGUGCUGGCCUGAAACCAAUGUUCUGUGGGACUGGAGCCAGAAACAGGAUCAGGGUUGCAGGAAGAACCCUGAAAAGAAAGGCUCUUCUUUCAGAAAGUGGAGCUCCAUGAGCUGUCGGCAUCCCAGGGGCAGAGCAGAGGCAGAUUUUGGCUGUGAAGUUGACCCAGCCAAUGCCACGCAGGACAAGGUGGCAUUGAGAAGGUCCACAGCAGCAGCAUGUGUGCUGGAGGGGAACCACAAGCCGUGAAGGAUAGGGCAAAAGUGCCCGCUUCAUAAAUACACAUAAACAAACAAAACAGCUCACCAGCAGACAAAAUUCAGUGCUUCAGUGACCAUGGUUUCUCCUCUGCGAAGGCCCUCCUGUUGCCUUAGAAAAUUAUCAUCCCGUUUACUUAAUUAGGCUGACUCCAAGCUUUAGGCAUCGGCCUGCCAAGAUGAUGCACACAGCUCUUGUCUAUUUGCCCUCAGCAAGCUUGCCUGCCUUGCCCUCUUCUGUGCUCUGAAACCCAGAAAUUCCACACAGAUGGUAUUUUUUAAGAAGGUGUUUCUAAUAGCGAUGAUUUGGAAGGGAAUGCUGAGCCUUCUUGAAAUAUGGAGGAGACAUUGACGAGACCACUGUGUUUUCUGUUUGCGUGUGAAUGACAGAUGCUAUUCACGUCAAACAGAGGAUGCAUAAAGUCAUGGUGAUUGUAAAGACAUGGUGGGCAUAUUUCUGCACUGCAAAACUCAGGAACACGGCCUGCCAGGUAGUUCAUCCCCACGUGCUGGAGGAGCCGUGCCCUUUGGUUGUUCAUCAUCAAUAGGACUGAAAGCCUCUUGGAAAAAAAAGAGAGUCAAUGACCUCUAUAGCAUCACGUCAAACUUCUAGACUGCUGAUCAUCACUGUGUCAGUCCUUCAUUUUAGAGAAGUUUCUCUUUUACAGUACUAGCGCGGGGUUCUGGUGACAGCAUUUGGAGAAGGAAUGGUGAGCUCAAGUGUGAAAAGUGAAUGCAAAAGGCUGUGGAAAGAUGUAUCCACCUGGUUUUACUGAAGAAAACAAUACAGCUCUCCAAGUGCUGGUGAAGCCCUUUCGUUGCUUUCUGCGUGGUUCAGCUCCUGCUUCCCUCUGAUUUUGUUAGUGUUUGGCCGAAUCCCAAUUCCUUUUGAAGAUGAUUAAUUGCAGAACAGCUUAUCCUUAUUAGUGGUACUCAGACCCAACUGAAUUUACCACAGAAGUAAUUACCAGGGUCUUGGUGAUGGGUUUCCUAUUGAAAACGCUUGGGUUGACUGCAGGAGGAGCUGGGAACCAGGGUUUCCCAUGGCUUUGGACAGCUGGGAAACACAUUUCAGCCACAAAAGCACUCAGGGACCUCUAGCCCUCGCAUCCACAUCCAAUGUCCUGUCCCCACCAUCACAGGCCCUGUGCCGAGGAUCACGUGGCACCGUGAUGGGAUCACACGUUUACCAAAGCCACUCUUGUCACCGUAUGGCAACACAAUGUUUCUCCCUGCCUCUAGAAGCUGAGAAUUGGAAGAGGUCAUGAACAUCAACAAAUAUUGUCCAGAUUUUCUUCAGGUCACUUUGUUGCUAAGGGAGUUUGACACUGCCAUGAUGAGCACUGCAGGAAUUCAGAAUGCACCAGCAUGAAUUGUAGAAUCAUAUACUACUUUGGGUUGGAGGGGACCUUUAAGAUCAUCAUCCAAUCCUCCUGCUAUAGGCAGGGACACCUCCCUCUAGACCAAGCUGCUCAAAGCUCCAUCCAGCCUGGCCUUGAAUGCUUCCGGGGAGGGGGCAUCCACAGCCUCUCUGGGCAACCUGUUCCAGUGUCUCACUACCCUCACAAUAAAGAAUUUCUUUCUGAUAUCUAGUCUAGAUCUACCCUCUUCUGCUUUAAAGCCAUUUCCCCUCGUGCUUUUGAAGGAGAAGCAUUUUUAUGGGUAACCACACACUUUACUUUAGGAAGUAUUUACACAGCUGUGACCUUUUUGAACGAUCAGCUCCCCUGGUGUUUGGGAGCAGUGUCAUCUUCAAAUGGCAUGGCUAGACCUAGAGGUUGCCUGCUUGAGGGCCCUGCCCACCCGUGAUCUUCUCCCCCUCUCCCUCUACCUCUUAAGUUCUUUACAAGGAGAGUGGUGAGGUGCUGGAACGGGCUGCCCAGAGAGGCUGUGGAUGCCCCGUCCCUGGAGGUGUUCAAGGCCACAUUGGAUGGGGCCCUGGGCAACCUGGUCUAGUAAAUGGGGAGGUUCGUGGCCCUGCUAGCAGGGGGGUUGGAGAUUCAUGAUCCUUGAGGUCCCUUCCAACCCAGGCCAUUCUGUGAUUCUGUGAUUCUGUGUGAUUCUGUGAUACGUGGAGUAUCCCACCCCCCUAUGCCCCUGUCUCACCCCAGCUCCUCUCCUUGUCCCGGCGACUCCCAGCCCUCACUGCUUACCACCUCCCUUCCUCUUCUACAGAUCCACUGCUGAAAAAGAGACAUAAAUCCAAAAACAUCACUGGUGCCUCAUGUGCAAACACUUUAACAUUAAGCUGACACAGUCCUGUUGUUCAGCAAGAGUAAUUACCUGACUCUGCCUUCUGCAUUGCUAAAUCACAGCAAACUGAUUAAAGCUGCAUGCUAGCGUCUGCUAUGACUCUCAAAUGAGAAGAAAUAGCAGCACGUCCUGGACCUGAUUCAACAGGGACAACAUAUUAUUGUUGAGAAUAGUCCAAGCCCUUUCCAAAAGUCGCAGGGCACGUUUCCCUCAUAUCAGUAAAACUUCCUUGACCAAAAGGGGUGGGACCAUGCUGUGAGCAGCCCUUUCAGAGACCUGAAACCUUCCUGUAAUACUUAUCGGCCUUUCAGUAUUAAAAGGGAAUUUAUAAACAUGAGGGAAAACAACUUUUGACACAGGUAGACAGGGAUGGGUGAAGGGAGAAUGGUUUUAAACUAAAGGAGGAAAGAUUUAGAGUAGACACCAGGGGGAUGUUCUUCACAGAGGGAGUGGUGAGGUGCUGGAACAGGCUGCUCAGAGAGGCUGUGGAUGCCCUGUCCCUGGAGGUGUUUAAGGCCAGGUUGGAUGGGGCCCUGGGCAAUCUUAUCUAGUACUUGGUCUAGCAGCUGGCAGCCCUGCCUGUGACAGGGGUAUUGGAACUUGAUGAUCCUUGAGGCCCUUCCAACCCAAGCCAUUCUAUGGUUCUGUGAGUCUAUGAAACUUUGACUCUGCUGGAAAUAAAUAAAUAAAUAAAUAACUAUCCACAUGAAGAAUUAUCAAGACACUUCAAAAUGACUGCAGACGCCUACGGCUCACUAAAAAUAUGCACCAAUGGCAUUAUGCACUGCACCAGCUAUCGUCUCUGCACUUGAGGUUGUGAACUGACAACUUCCUCA